AGCUAUGGCCAUGCCACCCUGAACAAGCCGGAUCCCGUCUGAUCUCGGAAGCUAGGCAGGGUUGGGCCUGGUUAGUACUUGAAUGGGAGACCACCUAGGAAGACCGAGUGCUGUAGGCG
rnacentral:rRNA from 1 species